UCUCCGUUGGUGAACCAGCGGAGGGAUCAUUACCGAGUGCAAACUCAUAACCCUUUGUGAACCUAUAUCUGUUGCUUCGGCGGCUCGCUCUCGGGCGAGCCCGCCGGUAAUAUCAGUAUCUCUGUUUGAACCCGACGAUACUUCUGAGUGUUCUUAGCGAACAGUUAAAACUUUUAACAACGGAUCUCCUGGCUCUAGCAUCGAUGAAGAACGCAAC
rnacentral:misc_RNA from 1 species